GGGGAUAUAGCUCAAAUGAUAGAGUGCUUGCUUACCAAGUAUGAUGGCCUGAGUUCAAAUCUCAGUACACACA
rnacentral:tRNA from 1 species